AACGAACGCUGGCGGCAGGCUUAACACAUGCAAGUCGAGGGGAAACGACAUCGAAAGCUUGCUUUUGAUGGGCGUCGACCGGCGCACGGGUGAGUAACGCGUAUCCAACCUGCCCAUCACUUGGGGAUAACCUUGCGAAAGUAAGACUAAUACCCAAUGAUAUCUCUAGAAGACAUCUGAAGGAGAUUAAAGAUUUAUCGGUGAUGGAUGGGGAUGCGUCUGAUUAGCUUGUUGGCGGGGUAACGGCCCACCAAGGCGACGAUCAGUAGGGGUUCUGAGAGGAAGGUCCCCAACAUUGGAACUGAGACACGGUCCAAACUCCUACGGGAGGCAGCAGUGAGGAAUAUUGGUCAAUGGGCGAGAGCCUGAACCAGCCAAGUAGCGUGCAGGAUGACGGCCCUAUGGGUUGUAAACUGCUUUUAUAAGGGAAUAAAGUGGGAGUCGUGACUCCUUUUGCAUGUACCUUAUGAAUAAGGACCGGCUAAUUCCGUGCCAGCAGCCGCAGUAA
rnacentral:rRNA from 1 species